rnacentral:rRNA from 1 species
GGGUUGUGAGGUUAAGCGACUAAGCGUACACGGUGGAUGCCCUGGCAGUCAGAGGCGAUGAAGGACGUGCUAAUCUGCGAUAAGCGUCGGUAAGGUGAUAUGAACCGUUAUAACCGGCGAUUUCCGAAUGGGGAAACCCAGUGUGAUUCGUCACACUAUCAUUAACUGAAUCCAUAGGUUAAUGAGGCGAACCGGGGGAACUGAAACAUCUAAGUACCCCGAGGAAAAGAAAUCAACCGAGAUUCCCCCAGUAGCGGCGAGCGAACGGGGAGGAGCCCAGAGCCUGAAUCAGUGUGUGUGUUAGUGGAAGCGUUUGGAAAGGCGCGCGAUACAGGGUGACAGCCCCGUACACAAAAAUGCACAUGCUGUGAGCUCGAUGAGUAGGGCGGGACACGUGGUAUCCUGUCUGAAUAUGGGGGGACCAUCCUCCAAGGCUAAAUACUCCUGACUGACCGAUAGUGAACCAGUACCGUGAGGGAAAGGCGAAAAGAACCCCGGCGAGGGGAGUGAAAAAGAACCUGAAACCGUGUACGUACAAGCAGUGGGAGCACAGAGCAAUCUGUGUGACUGCGUACCUUUUGUAUAAUGGGUCAGCGACUUAUAUUCUGUAGCAAGGUUAACCGAAUAGGGGAGCCGAAGGGAAACCGAGUCUUAACCGGGCGUUAAGUUGCAGGGUAUAGACCCGAAACCCGGUGAUCUAGCCAUGGGCAGGUUGAAGGUUGGGUAACACUAACUGGAGGACCGAACCGACUAAUGUUGAAAAAUUAGCGGAUGACUUGUGGCUGGGGGUGAAAGGCCAAUCAAACCGGGAGAUAGCUGGUUCUCCCCGAAAGCUAUUUAGGUAGCGCCUCGUGAAUUCAUCUCCGGGGGUAGAGCACUGUUUCGGCAAGGGGGUCAUCCCGACUUACCAACCCGAUGCAAACUGCGAAUACCGGAGAAUGUUAUCACGGGAGACACACGGCGGGUGCUAACGUCCGUCGUGAAGAGGGAAACAACCCAGACCGCCAGCUAAGGUCCCAAAGUCAUGGUUAAGUGGGAAACGAUGUGGGAAGGCCCAGACAGCCAGGAUGUUGGCUUAGAAGCAGCCAUCAUUUAAAGAAAGCGUAAUAGCUCACUGGUCGAGUCGGCCUGCGCGGAAGAUGUAACGGGGCUAAACCAUGCACCGAAGCUGCGGCAGCGACACUGUGUGUUGUUGGGUAGGGGAGCGUUCUGUAAGCCUGUGAAGGUGUACUGUGAGGUAUGCUGGAGGUAUCAGAAGUGCGAAUGCUGACAUAAGUAACGAUAAAGCGGGUGAAAAGCCCGCUCGCCGGAAGACCAAGGGUUCCUGUCCAACGUUAAUCGGGGCAGGGUGAGUCGACCCCUAAGGCGAGGCCGAAAGGCGUAGUCGAUGGGAAACAGGUUAAUAUUCCUGUACUUGGUGUUACUGCGAAGGGGGGACGGAGAAGGCUAUGUUGGCCGGGCGACGGUUGUCCCGGUUUAAGCGUGUAGGCUGGUUUUCCAGGCAAAUCCGGAAAAUCAAGGCUGAGGCGUGAUGACGAGGCACUACGGUGCUGAAGCAACAAAUGCCCUGCUUCCAGGAAAAGCCUCUAAGCAUCAGGUAACAUCAAAUCGUACCCCAAACCGACACAGGUGGUCAGGUAGAGAAUACCAAGGCGCUUGAGAGAACUCGGGUGAAGGAACUAGGCAAAAUGGUGCCGUAACUUCGGGAGAAGGCACGCUGAUAUGUAGGUGAAGUCCCUCGCGGAUGGAGCUGAAAUCAGUCGAAGAUACCAGCUGGCUGCAACUGUUUAUUAAAAACACAGCACUGUGCAAACACGAAAGUGGACGUAUACGGUGUGACGCCUGCCCGGUGCCGGAAGGUUAAUUGAUGGGGUCAGCGCAAGCGAAGCUCUUGAUCGAAGCCCCGGUAAACGGCGGCCGUAACUAUAACGGUCCUAAGGUAGCGAAAUUCCUUGUCGGGUAAGUUCCGACCUGCACGAAUGGCGUAAUGAUGGCCAGGCUGUCUCCACCCGAGACUCAGUGAAAUUGAACUCGCUGUGAAGAUGCAGUGUACCCGCGGCAAGACGGAAAGACCCCGUGAACCUUUACUAUAGCUUGACACUGAACAUUGAGCCUUGAUGUGUAGGAUAGGUGGGAGGCUUUGAAGUGUGGACGCCAGUCUGCAUGGAGCCGACCUUGAAAUACCACCCUUUAAUGUUUGAUGUUCUAACGUGGACCCGUGAUCCGGGUUGCGGACAGUGUCUGGUGGGUAGUUUGACUGGGGCGGUCUCCUCCUAAAGAGUAACGGAGGAGCACGAAGGUUGGCUAAUCCUGGUCGGACAUCAGGAGGUUAGUGCAAUGGCAUAAGCCAGCUUGACUGCGAGCGUGACGGCGCGAGCAGGUGCGAAAGCAGGUCAUAGUGAUCCGGUGGUUCUGAAUGGAAGGGCCAUCGCUCAACGGAUAAAAGGUACUCCGGGGAUAACAGGCUGAUACCGCCCAAGAGUUCAUAUCGACGGCGGUGUUUGGCACCUCGAUGUCGGCUCAUCACAUCCUGGGGCUGAAGUAGGUCCCAAGGGUAUGGCUGUUCGCCAUUUAAAGUGGUACGCGAGCUGGGUUUAGAACGUCGUGAGACAGUUCGGUCCCUAUCUGCCGUGGGCGCUGGAGAACUGAGGGGGGCUGCUCCUAGUACGAGAGGACCGGAGUGGACGCAUCACUGGUGUUCGGGUUGUCAUGCCAAUGGCACUGCCCGGUAGCUAAAUGCGGAAGAGAUAAGUGCUGAAAGCAUCUAAGCACGAAACUUGCCCCGAGAUGAGUUCUCCCUGACCCUUUAAGGGUCCUGAAGGAACGUUGAAGACGACGACGUUGAUAGGCCGGGUGUGUAAGCGCAGCGAUGCGUUGAGCUAACCGGUACUAAUGAACCGUGAGGCUUAACCUUACAACGCCGAAGGUGUUU